rnacentral:snRNA from 1 species
AUACUUACCUGGUAGAGGAGAUACCAUGAUCACGAAGGUGGUUUUCCCAGGGGGAGGCUUGUCCACUGCACUCCCCAUCUGCUGACCCCUGUGAUUUCCCCAAAUGUGGGAAACUCAACUGCAUAAUUUGUGGUAGUGGGGGACUGCAUUUGCGCUCUCUCCUG